GACGAACGCUGGCGGCGUGCCUAAUACAUGCAAGUCGAACGAGUGGCGGACGGGUGAGUAAUGUCUGGGAAACUGCCUGAUGGACGGGGAUAACUACUGGAAACGGUAGCUAAUACCGCAUACCAUCGGAUGUGCCCAGAGGGGAUUAGCUAGUCGGUGGGGUAACGGCUCACCUAGGCGACGAUCCCUAGCUGGUCUGAGAGGAUGACCAGCCACACUGGAACUGAGACACGGUCCAGACUCCUACGGGAGGCAGCAGUGGGGAAUAUUGCACAAUGGGCGCAAGCCUGAUGCAGCCAUGCCGCGUGUGUGAAGAAGGCCUUCGGGUUGUAAAGUACUUUCAGCGGGGAGGCGGUACCCGCAGAAGAAGCACCGGCUAACUCCGUGCCAGCCGCCGCGGUAAUAC
rnacentral:rRNA from 1 species